rnacentral:rRNA from 1 species
CCUACGGGCGGCAGCAGUAGGGAAUAUUGCUCAAUGGGGGAAACCCUGAAGCAGCAACGCCGCGUGGAGGAUGAAGGUUUUCGGAUUGUAAACCCCUUUUGUUAGAGAAGAUAAUGACGGUAUCUAACGAAUAAGCACUGGCUAACUCCGUGCAAGCAGCCGAGGUAAGACGGAGGGUGCAAGGGUUACUCGGAAUCACUGGGCGUAAAGAGCGCGUAGGCGGGAUAGCAAGUCAGAUGUGAAAGUCUAUGGCUUAACCAUAGAACUGCAUUUGAAACCGUUAGUCUAGAGUAUGGGAGAGGUAGGUGGAAUUCUUGGUGUAGGGGUGAAAUCCGUAGAGAUCAAGAGGAAUACUGAUUGCGAAGGCGACCUGCUAGAACAUAACUGACGCUGAUGCGCGAAAGCGUGGGGAGCAAACAGGAUUAGAUACCCUUGUAGUC